CUCGGCAACGGAUACCUCGGCUCUCGCAUCGAUGAAGAACGUAGCGAAAUGCGAUACUUGGUGUGAAUUGCAGAAUCCCGUGAACCAUCGAGUCUUUGAACGCAAGUUGCGCCCGAAGCCAUUAGGCUGAGGGCACGUCUGCCUGGGCGUCACGC
rnacentral:rRNA from 1 species